GCCUGAGUGGCUCAGUUGGUUGAGUGUCUGACUCUUGACUUUGGCUCAGGCCGUGAUCUUACGGUUUGUGAGUUCGAGCCUCUCAUCAGGCU
rnacentral:tRNA from 1 species